CACCGGUACAGUUUUUGCGGGGAAGCGGAAGUUGCUGGAAUUUUGUCUUCUUCUAAAAACAAGUGUCUGAUACAUGUAGUUGCAGCCUGUCUUUGGAAGCAGUUGAAAUAACAAGAAAGAGGAUACAUUGAUAUUGUGUUUUGGUAGAGAGAAGUUUGAGUAUGUACAGUUGUUUGACCUUACCCUGUGGCAGUCCCAGAAGAUGUUACCAUUAUCAAUAAAUGCAGAACUUGAAGACAAUGGUUAGUGCAGAUGGGACAUAAAAGUAAUGAUAAAAAUAACAGAUAUUUAUAAGAAGUGCUACAUGUGUGUUGUCAUAUGAAAUGGACUUUACCCCAACAUUGCUGCAUUAUGUAUAUUCAAGUGUGAGACAGCCAUGCACCAGCUGUAAACUGAGAUGGACCCACACAUGAAAUAUGUUGACUUUUCUAUGUAUUAUCAUCUGUACAGAAUGUGUUUAUGACAAGACUGUAUACAAAUAUUGUUAAAUCAUUUUUUAUUUCAAUUAUGGCAUACAUGUAAGAAGCAAGUAUUAAUUUAGCAAUUGCAUUCGUAGAAAAGUUGAAAUGUGAUCAAUCUAAUUUAAAGAAUAACCUUUAAUUGGACUUUUGAAGUUUCAUAUUAUUUGUGGUGGAGAUUGACCCAGUCAUUCAGCAACUUAUACCGUCUGUGAUAAUUUCUUGUAGGUUAUAGUUUUUUUAAUAAUGCAUAAAAUAUCAAAAUUAUGGUUAAAUGAACUCAAUCAUCACUUGUAGAUUAAUGUUAAAGCAGUUCAACAUUUUACCAUAACUUAAUUAAUAU
rnacentral:lncRNA from 1 species